CCCUCUUCAAAAGCCACCAAUCAAGUUACUCACUCACACCAGUCACCAAUCAAAAAUUCAAAAAGCAAUUUUCUCUCUCUCUCUUCUUUCUCUCUCCAAAGGCACUCUCUCAUUCUCUCACUCUGCAACUCUAUCAAACAAACACUAAACUUCACCGAUGUGACCUGAAACUACACCAUUGUGUUCCUCUCACCUCCACAAACACAACCAUACCACUGGAUCAUGUGUUCACCAAGUUUUGGACGUCGAACUCAAAAGGUCUGAACUCAAUGAGCUUGAGUUCAACGAGUUUCAGGCCGAGUCAAGGAGUUUUGAAGGUCGGGGAAGUUUCCUUUCAACUUCCCAAGGCUCCUAGGACAUGUUUGAGGAAGUUUUGACGUGAAACCACCCAGUUUCAAGAAGUCCCAGUUUUAGCCGUACCUUUCAAGCCAUUUUUAGGCCACCUCCGUCCACUUUUUGGACUCCAAAAGUUUUUGGCGAGUUCAGACUGCGGCAACCGGUGAGGAUGACCAAAGAAGACGACGGAAUAUUCUAACGGCGUCAGGGGAAACAUAUCCCGAGGACUUAAGGGGUCAAGCACGGCUCGGGGGCUACGAUCCGACGACGUACUU